GCCUUCGGUGCCUGCUAAGCUGGUAUCAGUGUAUCCAAAGAGAGCUGGCUCAGCUCAGCAGGAACAGGAGU
rnacentral:pre_miRNA from 1 species